rnacentral:lncRNA from 1 species
UCCAGUUGCUCUGUAUCUACACCAGACUGCACAUACAUGGAUCCCAGGCUGCUUGAUACUGUUCUUCAUCCUCCUUCACAGACUCCAAAUACGUGGAUCCCAGGCUGCUUGAUACUGUUCUCCAUCCUCCUUCGCAGACUCCAGAUACGUGGAUCCUAUUACCCUAAUAUCGUUCUGCAGGUUGCUGAAGAUCUCUUCUUUUUCUUUUAGUCUUAUUCUCUCUGUGAUGCAUAUUGAAUUGUUUCUGUUUCACUCUUCAGGUUCAUUGAUCUUUCCUUCUGCAAUAUCUAACCUGCUGUAAAUACUAUUCAGUGUAUUUUAAAAACUCAGAUAUAUUUUUCAUUUCUACAAGUUUUUAAAAAUACCUUCUACUUCUCAUUAGGUUUUUUUCCCCUCAACAAUCUUGAUUAUAGGAGCAUAUUCAUAAUAGAUAAUUAAACAUUUGUAUCUGCUAAUUCUGUCAUUUCUGGUGCCUGUUUCUAUUGAUCUAUUUUUCUCCUGACUGUGAGUUAUAUGUUACUUCUUUGUAGACCUGAUAAUUUUUGACUGGGUAUUUUGGAGUUCUGGAUUCUGUUGUAUUAUUGAUAUACUCCUGUUGAGGAGUAUAGGAUUUUAUUCUGGCACAUGGCUCAAUGACUUAGGAUCAGUUUGAUCCUUUUAAGCUUUCUUUAAGAUCUGUUAGGGCAGGUCGACAUUAGUCUUUAGUUCAGCACUACUAAAGUGACACCCCACUGAGGACUCUAUGCAAUAGACUCCCAGCCCUGUUUGAGCUCCAGGAAGUGUUUGACUUACUGCUUUCUAGUGGUUCUUUCCCCAGCC